GUGGGUGUAGCUCAGUUGGCAGAGCACCGGGUUGUGAUCCCGGUUGUCGCGGGUUCGACCCCCGUCACUCACCCCA
rnacentral:tRNA from 1 species